AACAAGCCCCGUCUCGGCACAUCGAGGCCCGCGGGACGCUUCUUCGGAACGUAAAAGGUGUGCGAUGCUUGCGGCUGAUGGCUCCUACCUACGUGCAUCAAAGAGCGGGCCUGCACCUUUGCCGAGACAGCAGUGAAACAUGAAGAGUUCUGGGUGACUGCAGCGACUGGGUCACCGACGCCGCUCCACUUCCCGCACCGCACUCCGCGUGGGUCAGAGGGCCAGCGCUUGCCCUUUAUGGGCUGUCGCCAGCCACAGUUCAGAAUUCCCUGCCCCUGAAUCAUGGAUCAAGCCUUGCCAAACAGUUCUUUUGGGGACCACCACUUCUUCAUGGACAGAGUCUCUCCUCCCGUGUCUUGCAUUUAAGUAUAUUUUCUGGCACCUCUUUUUAGACAGUAGUGCACAAGUGCUCCCUCCGUAUUUCGCGAGUAAACCUCGGUCAGUCGACACACCAGGUCACUGUCAACCAAAUGCAAUAUCUUAAUGGAGCCCGGCAGAGAACAUUGACUUCACCAGUAUUAAUUUCCUGGCCUUGCUAGCAACUUCAACGAAAUAAACAUUGCAUUACAAAAAAUUCUUGCCGCGGUGGCAAAUGGUUGUUAGGCAACCCCAAAAUAUCCUGUAGGUUCACAAGAACAUAAAGCAUAUCUUUACCCGUGUUACAGAAUGUAUUAUUCAUAUUUUAUCCAAGAUUCCGAUUGACAAAUAAUUUGCAACAUCUCUCUCAUCAAUCGUUGAUAGCACUCUGUUCAAGAGCGAGUGCUCAUGCAUUUUAUGUUUUUCAAGGGGAGACCCUGGUCUUGAAAGCUUUUUUUAAUUUCUCUCCUGAUUUCGCGCAAUUCUCACAUAAAUGGUAUUUUGAGUGUGAAGCAGAUACAAGCUUACUUUCCCCUUUACAUUGCAGUUUUCAUGAAGACCUUCACUUUAGUUUC